rnacentral:rRNA from 1 species
UCGAGAGGCUUCGGCAAUGGGGGAAACCCUGACCCAGCAACGCCGCGUGAAGGAUGAAGUAUUUCGGUAUGUAAACUUCGAAAGAAUAGGAAGAAUAAAUGACGGUACUAUUUAUAAGGUCCGGCUAACUACGUGCCAGCAGCCGCGGUAAUACGUAGGGACCAAGCGUUGUUCGGAUUUACUGGGCGUAAAGGGCGCGUAGGCGGCAUGACAAGUCACUUGUGAAAUCUCUGGGCUUAACCCAGAACGGCCAAGUGAUACUGUCGCGCUAGAGUGCAGAAGGGGCAAUCGGAAUUCUUGGUGUAGCGGUGAAAUGCGUAGAUAUCAAGAGGAACACCUGAGGUGAAGACGGGUUGCUGGGCUGACACUGACGCUGAGGCGCGAAAGCCAGGGGAGCAAACGGGAUUAGAUACCCAAGUAGUCCCUGAGCGGGCUGGCAAGGCGCAU